UUCCGGUUGAUCCUGCCGGAGGCCAUUGCUAUCGGAGUCCGAUUUAGCCAUGCUAGUUGCACGAGUUUAGACUCGUAGCAUAUAGCUCAGUAACACGUGGCCAAACUACCCUACAGACCGCGAUAACCUCGGGAAACUGAGGCCAAUAGCGGAUAUAACUCUCAUGCUGGAGUGCCGAGAGUUAGAAACGUUCCGGCGCUGUAGGAUGUGGCUGCGGCCGAUUAGGUAGAUGGUGGGGUAACGGCCCACCAUGCCGAUAAUCGGUACAGGUUGUGAGAGCAAGAGCCUGGAGACGGUAUCUGAGACAAGAUACCGGGCCCUACGGGGCGCAGCAGGCGCGAAACCUUUACACUGCACGACAGUGCGAUAGGGGGACUCCGAGUGUGAGGGCAUAUAGCCCUCGCUUUUCUGCACCGUAAGGUGGUGCAAGAAUAAGGACUGGGCAAGACCGGUGCCAGCCGCCGCGGUAAUACCGGCAGUCCAAGUGAUGGCCGAUAUUAUUGGGCCUAAAGCGUCCGUAGCUUGCUGUGUAAGUCCAUUGGGAAAUCGACCAGCUCAACUGGUCGACGUCCGGUGGAAACUACACAGCUUGGGGCCGAGAGACUCAACGGGUACGUCCGGGGUAGGAGUGAAAUCCUGUAAUCCUGGACGGACCACCAAUGGGGAAACCACGUUGAGAGACCGGACCCGACAGUGAGGGACGAAAGCCAGGGUCUCGAACCGGAUUAGAUACCCGGGUAGUCCUGGCUGUAAACAAUGCUCGCUAGGUAUGUCACGCGCCAUGAGCACGUGAUGUGCCGUAGUGAAGACGAUAAGCGAGCCGCCUGGGAAGUACGUCCGCAAGGAUGAAACUUAAAGGAAUUGGCGGGGGAGCACCACAACCGGAGGAGCCUGCGGUUUAAUUGGACUCAACGCCGGACAUCUCACCGGUCCCGACAGUAGUAAUGACAGUCAGGUUGACGACUUUACUCGACGCUACUGAGAGGAGGUGCAUGGCCGCCGUCAGCUCGUACCGUGAGGCGUCCUGUUAAGUCAGGCAACGAGCGAGACCCAACCACUUCUAGUUGCCAGCAAACCCCUGCGGUGGUUGGGUCACUAGGAGGACUGCAUUGCUAAAUGGAGGAAGGAUGGGCAACGGUAGGUCAGUAUGCUCGAAUGGACCGGGCAACCGCGGGCUACAAUGGCUAUGAAAGUGGGACCCACGCCGAGAGGCGAACUUAUCUCCAACGUAUUCGUAUUCGGAUUGCGGCUGAACCCCCCCGUAAAACUGGAUCGGAUUAUACCGGUUGCAAAACGCCGGGAAAACUUCCUGCUUUUGACACCGCCGUAAAAACCCAGUGGGGUCCGGAGAGCCUUUACGGAGGGCUCAAUCUGGCUCGAGGGGGUUAUUCGUACAAGGACGGAGGAAUCGGGUGGAGUCGUAACAAGGUAGCCGUAGAGGAAUCUGCGGCUGGAUCACCUCCU
rnacentral:rRNA from 15 species